rnacentral:piRNA from 1 species
UCCCUCUGUUGUGUGCUGUCACUCGAU